UACGUAGGGUGCAAGCGUUGUCCGGAAUUAUUGGGCGUAAAGGGCUCGUAGGCGGUUUGUCGCGUCGGGAGUGAAAACACUGGGCUUAACCGAGUGCUUGCUUUCGAUACGGGCAGACUUGAGGCAUUGAGGGGAGAACGGAAUUCCUGGUGUAGCGGUGAAAUGCGCAGAUAUCAGGAGGAACACCGGUGGCGAAGGCGGUUCUCUGGCAAUGUUCUGACGCUGAGGAGCGAAAGUGUGGGGAGCGAACAGG
rnacentral:rRNA from 1 species